GGGGUUGUGGCUCAGUGGUAGAGCGCUUGCCUAGCAUGCAUGAGGCACUGGGUUCAAUCCCCAGCACCACA
rnacentral:tRNA from 1 species